GAGGUGGUGGAGUGGGAGGAGGUGGUUCACUGCCGUCCCGUCUGGGCUUCAGGCAGAACACCUCCACAGAGUUCCAACCAGAUGCCAUGUUGUCCCCCGGGAAGGGCCACAGGGGAGAGGGGACCCCCAGGGCCGAGAGGAGAGAGGGGACUUCCAGGUGUACCUGGAGUGACAGGGGAUGUUGGACUCAUGAGACCUCCUGGACUGGAUGGAAUGGCUGGAGCUACUGGACUGGAAGGAGAUAAAGGUGAGAAAGGAGAUCAAGGAAACAUAGGUCUGCCUGGUGCUCGGGAGGCAACUUGGGAGACAAGGAUAGAAAGGUCUACUCCAGAAGCGAGAACGACAGCAUCUUCACCGUCUUCCUGCUCUAUGCCGAACCCAAGGCCUGACCUACGACUUUGUCUGUGAACCCGGCUUGACCUCUGCAUGAGCUUUAUCUGACAACUUAUGCUGACUGGAUCGCCUCCAAACUCUUUUCACUACUCUGAUAAAUCAUCUCUUUCAAUAUAGCUACUGCUGCUAACUUUGUUCCUGCUUAUUGCUAUCAAAAUAAUCUGACCAAAUGCUUGCUGUAUUUUGAUGGUAAAGGCUGUAACUCUGUAUCCAGUGGUUCCCAAACAGUGGAAAAACUUUUCAGUGUAAACUUAAAUGACUAAAACCAAAUAUAAUGUAUGUAUAAAAGAUAAUGGACCUAUAUAUUUUUCAAUAAUAGCCUAUAAUUUUUGAGAAUUUACAAUCAAGAAAAUAGCGCUAGACAAUCAGGCCCCCAUUGAUUUAGUUAAAAUGCUUGAGCAUAAGAACACCAGCCAUGUCAACGUUUGGAAAUUAGCUUAAAAACAGAAAACAAAAUNNNNNNNNNNUUUUUAAUCAAAUCGCAAAUUUUGAUCUAAAAUAGAAUAUUCAUGCUUGAGACUGAUAUCUAUCCUCAUAUGUUGACAUGUUUCAGAUACCAAUCCUUCUCUCUUUCUUAUGAUAGGUGAGAAAGGAGAUCAAGGAAACAUAGGUCUGCCUGGUGCUCGGGAGGCAACUUGGGAGACAAGGAUAGAAAGGUCUACUCCAGAAGCGAGAACGACAGCAUCUUCACCGUCUUCCUGCUCUAUGCCGAACCCAAGGCCUGACCUACGACUUUGUCUGUGAACCCGGCUUGACCUCUGCAUGAGCUUUAUCUGACAACUUAUGCUGACUGGAUCGCCUCCAAACNNNNNNNNNNUCUCAGCUCCGUGGCAAAACGCAUAGAAUUGCAGGGAAUUGACUUUAAAAUUGCAAAAUGUUCUUUCAGCUCCAUGGCAGGAUGUGUGGAAUUGCAGGAGAUUAGCUUUGAAACUGCUUCAUUUUCUUAUCUAGAUGCCAAGAUAAUAUUUGUUACUUAUUCUUUGGUCUGUGUCUGUUUUUUCUUUUUUAACAGCUCGACCCUUAUGUUGGGUCACGACUCAAAAGACACCUCAAUCGGUGGGUCAGUUUGGGAACCCCUGCUUUAUACAACGCUUACAGUUUCUAUCAAUGCAAUAAAACACUGCUAAUGCUUGAAGUUAAAAUUGCUUGAAUUCUGUGAGUUUAGGUCUGAACCUAUCUAGACUUUACUACGACUGAUUUUAGAUUUGUCAACUGCCCAAUCCCAGCUCUGCUUAGGGACAAUCUCACCCAUUACUACUUUAAUGUGAUCCUAAGAGUAAAAAGCUGUCAUCAUUGUUGUGCCAUAGAAAUAUAGCUCCAAGGUCUGUGGGUGAUGGUGAGUGAUGUAUGAAUGCAUUAUUUUUUAUAGCCUACUGAUGUACUAGUCCACGGUCACCACCAAAAUAUAUCUGAAUGAAACGUGCAUGUUAUUUCCCCCACUAGAGGGCACUGGGACAUCACAGUUUGAAGAGGAGGGCUGAAUGAGGAUUGUAUUAAUUCUACAGUCUCAUGUAAAAUUAUUUUUUAAAUACACAAAAAUAAUGUUGAUAUUCAAGCAAAUGUAGAGGGGGAAAACACACACAUGCUAUAAUUAUUUAUGUUACACCACCCACAUACAUUUAAAUCAAAAUAAAGCAGGUUUGUACUAGCACAAUUCCCCCCUGGCGGUGACUGUCAUGCUUCAUCCCUGUGACCUGUGAUGUUGCCUCCCACCACUCAAGCCAUUGUUUGAUGCUACCAAGACAAACAGCUUCAGCUCCAUCCCUGACUUCCUGAUUUACUGUUUUUGUUUCAUUGUUUAAUGACUUGUAUGUGUUGUAUACGUAAUUCAGGAUUUAGCUGCCAUGUACCACGGCCUACAUGUAAAUGUAUCAAAACUACUACAAAGUAUGUGAUAUUGAUAGAAAACUAAGAGGAGGCCUUCUACAGUUAGAAAAUGUGAAGUCACAAAGCAGCACUGUGAUGUCACUGGCCCUCUUUUAGAAGAGUAAAUCUCCAUGGAAACUACAAGUUCUACAACAUUCUAGAAUACCAUAGCAAUCACAGUGGCAGACAGAAACAUUUGAUUUCUAUCAGUUCUCUACUGUGAGACCUUUGAGAAGUAACAUAAUGUUUUUAUAAAGAUUGUCUAAUCUUCACUUCAUAUAGAUAGAUGGUAAGGACAGAAGGAUGGGGAGAAUCCUGCCCCUGAAGAGUCCCAAGAGGGGAGCAGGAUCAUGACAAGCAUCCUAUAAGAGACCACCAUGAAGAUGUCAGUGAAUCACCAUCUCCUCCAAUAACAUCUUGCCAAGACGAUCAGCUGGACAACUAAUAUGACAUCCAGUCAGUCAGCCUGCAACUUGUUCAAGUAGACUUCCAAAAAGGUGACAUGUCAAGUCACCAACAAGGCAUGCACGUUAUGAAUGAUCCAAAGCAAGUUGAAAUACAGAAUGAUCUUUUUUUUUUUUUUUACCUUUAUUUAACCAGGCAAGUCAGUUAAGAACAAAUUCUUAUUUUCAAUGACGGCCUGGGAACAGUGGGUUAACUGCCUGUUCAGGGGCAGAACGACAGAAACCUUGUCAGCUCGGGGGUUUGAACUCGCAACCUUCCGGUUACUAGUCCAACGCUCUAACCACUAGGCUACCCUGCCGCCUCAUUAAGACAUGCAACAAGACCAAAAGCAAGAUUUAAGCCCUUCCCUUCCAAUUAUGAUGGCUUUGUCACAGCAUGGCUUAGAAGUCUGUAGAUAUCCUUCACUCCCUUACAGACACCAUCCUCACGGGAUGAACUAGAAGACUCAAGUGAUUCCUCACCUCAUACUCUGGUUCCCAUCUUCAGGGAUCACUAUGUAGAACUAAGUGAUUCAUCCAGUGUCAACGACUCAUCUUGGUCAGAGAGUAAGGGGGAAUAUAGCGGCUCAUACUCUUCCACAUCAGAAAGAGGGGAGCAUGUCAGCUAUUCUGCCCCACUGAUGCCAAAGAGUGAGGAUGGUACAAUUGAUUUGGC
rnacentral:lncRNA from 13 species